rnacentral:misc_RNA from 1 species
GAUGAAGAACGCAUUGAAAUGCGAUAAGUAAUGUGAAUUGCAGAAUUCAGUGAAUCAUCGAAUCUUUGAACGCACAUUGCGCCCGCUAGUAUUCUGGCGGGCAUGCCUGUCCGAGCGUCAUUUCAACCCUCAAGCCCCCGGGCUUGGUGUUGGGGAUCGGCGAGCCUCCGCGCCCGCCGUCCCCUAAAUCUAGUGGCGGUCUCGCUGUAGCUUCCUCUGCGUAGUAGCACACCUCGCACUGGGAAACAGCGCGGCCACGCCGUUAAACCCCCAACUUCUGAACGUUUGACCUCGGAUCAGGUAGGAAUACCCGCUGAACUUAAGCAUAUCAAUAAGCGGAGGA